rnacentral:rRNA from 1 species
GAUGAACGCUGGCGGCGUGCCUAAUACAUGCAAGUCGAGCGAACGGACGAGAAGCUUGCUUCUCUGAUGUUAGCGGCGGACGGGUGAGUAACACGUGGAUAACCUACCUAUAAGACUGGGAUAACUUCGGGAAACCGGAGCUAAUACCGGAUAAUAUUUUGAACCGCAUGGUUCAAAAGUGAAAGACGGUCUUGCUGUCACUUAUAGAUGGAUCCGCGCUGCAUUAGCUAGUUGGUAAGGUAACGGCUUACCAAGGCAACGAUGCAUAGCCGACCUGAGAGGGUGAUCGGCCACUCUGGAACUGAGACACGGUCCAGACUCCUACGGGCGGCAGCAGUAGGGAAUCUUCCGCAAUGGGCGAAAGCCUGACGGAGCAACGCCGCGUGAGUGGUGAAGGUCUUCGUAUCGUAAAACUCUGUUAUUAGGGAAGAACAUAUGUGUAAGUAACUGUGCACAUCGUGACGGUACCUAAUCAGAAAGCCACGGCUAACUACGUG